UUUGAAUAUCAGAUAAAUAACAAAAAUUUAUUAGUACAAGUUUCCUGCAAAUCCACACUGAACAGAAUAUUAUGUUCAUUGUUCAUCUUAAAUUCAAAUUUAAUUGGGUACACUUUAUUAUGUGGUAACAAUAUUCAGGUGGUAGACCAAAAAAUUCAAAAGUGUAUCAAUAGCUUCAUUUGGUUAAGCAUAAAGAGCAAAAGAAAUUUAAAUAUCUUCCUGUUGACAAUGUAAAUUAUUACAGUUGGAGAGAAAUUUGGAAAUUUUGUAAAAUUCAUACAUGAAAGUUCUUUUUCACCAUAAUUCCACCUUUCAUUUAUGUUCUGGAUAGACUUGAGCAUAUAUUUGAAGGAAAACAUGAACCCAAGAAAUAGCAUUGCUUUUAAUUUUCCAACAAAAGAAGAAAUAGGUUGUAAUUUACUAAAAUUGAAAAAAGUACAGCUACAUGUGGCUACAUAUUUCAACAUGGAAGAAGUCCACCGAGAUUUCUGAAAGAAAGAGCAAAUCUUACAAAAACGUACUUUUUAUUUAUAAAUACAGACAUUAAAGACAUAAAGAGCCCCGUGUCGUGCUGCCCCUCCUGAUUAGGCCUCGGGGCCGGCCCUGGCCACUGUCCCUGCAGUGGAUGCAAUCGCGGCGGCUCCAGUCCUCAGGCGGCUCCAGUCCUCAGGCGGCUCCAGUCCUCAGGGGGUUCCAGUCCUCAGGCGGCUCCAGUCCUCAGGCGGCUCCAGUCCUCAGGGGGCUCCAGUCCUCAGGGGGUUCCAGUCCUCAGGCGGCUCCAGUCCUCAGGGAGCUCCAGUCCUCAGGCGGCUCCAGUCCUCAGGGGGCUCCAGUCCUCAGGGGGUUCCAGUCCUCAGGCGGCUCCAGUCCUCAGGCGGCUCCAGUCCUCAGGGCGGCUCCAGUCCUCAGGGGGCUCCAGUCCUCAGGGCGGCUCCAGUCCUCAGGGGGCUCCAGUCCUCAGGCGGCUCCUGUCCUCAGGGGGUUCCAGUCCUCAGGCGGCUCCAGCACCCGCGACCCGCCUGGCUCCGUCUGAGUCCGUGGUUAGGCUCCCUCCAUCCCUGCGUUCCCUGGCCUCCCUCUCCUGUUGUUUUCCCCAGAUUCACCCCAGCACGGCCCCAUGGCGCAAGGAGACCCGCUGGAAAGGAAGCAUUUGAACUCCAGAAGCACAGGACUUGCGACUUUCAGCCUUUGCGCCCAUCUCUGCGCCACCAGCCCCGCAGAAGUAGCUGGGAAUGGAGCUGUCCCCAUCCAGAGACAUCUCCAGGCUCACCACGGAGCAAAUUCUGUGCAGAAGAAGAGAAUAAACGCAUGCGGAACAGAAGGCGUUUUAGAAACUAGUUUCCAACCGACAGAUCCACCUCGUACUUCUGAUGCACGGUCACAUGCAUUUCUCCU
rnacentral:lncRNA from 10 species